rnacentral:rRNA from 1 species
CAGUCGCCGCGGGAAUACGAAGGGGGCUAGCGUUGCUCGGAAUGACUGGGCGUAAAGGGCGCGUAGGCGGUUUUGACAGUCAGAUGUGAAAUUCCUGGGCUUAACCUGGGGGCUGCAUUUGAGGCGUCAAGACUAGAGGGUGAGAGAGGGUUGUGGAAUUCCCAGUGUAGAGGUGAAAUUCGUAGAUAUUGGGAAGAACACCGGUGGCGAAGGCGGCAACCUGGCUCAUUACUGACGCUGAGGCGCGAAAGCGUGGGGAGCAAACAGGAUUAGAUACCCCCGUAGUCCCUGUCUUUUAUAC